UACGUAGGGCGCAAGCGUUGUCCGGAAUCAUUGGGCGUAAAGCGCGUGUAGGCGGCUUUGCAAGUCGGGUGUGAAAGCCCUCAGCUCAACUGAGGAAGUGCGCCCGAAACUGCAGAGCUUGAAUACCGGAGAGGAUGGCGGAAUUCCCCAAGUAGAGGUGAAAUUCGUAGAUAUGGGGAGGAACACCGGUGGCGAAGGCGGCCAUCUGGACGGCUAUUGACGCUGAGACGCGAAAGCGUGGGGAGCAAACAGG
rnacentral:rRNA from 1 species